rnacentral:lncRNA from 10 species
ACUUGUAUUCAAACAUUCCUAAAAGUUUUAUUUUUGUUAGCCAAAAUCUGGAAACAACUCAAAUGUUCAUCAAGUGAAAGGAUAAACAAAACGUGGAAUAUCCGUACAACGCAACACUAUUCAGCAAUGAAAAGAAACAAACUAUUGAUACAUGCUGCAACACAGAUGGACCUCAAAUUUGUUAUGCUAAGUGAAAAUAGCCAGAUGUAAAAUUCUACAUUUUAUUUCAUUCCAUUUACAUGGUAUUAGUAGCAAAGGCAACAAUAUAAAGACACAAAGAACAUCAGUGGUCACUUGGGUCUCAUGGUAGAUAUAGGGUAUGCCUGUAAAGGUUCAUGAAGGAAUUUUGGGUGUCACCAGAAUUUCAUAGCCUUGACUGUGAUCACAGUUGUACAAUUCUUUUCAGUAAAAGUCAUCACAUUAUACAAUUAUGAUGGAUACAUUUUAUGAUACAUAAAUGAUACCUCGGAGAGCUGUUGAAAAAGUUCAAAGAAAACAAGAGGAUAGAUAAGAAGUUUACCACUGAAGUUCAAAUCACAUUCAACCCCUGUAUUCCAGGGCUCUAAGACUUUUAUUCAUUUAUCCUUUUAAGUGUGAGUCCCUCAGUGGACAAAGAUGGUGGAAGUCUUUUUUGUUUCCCACUGUGUGGAAAACAAAAGAAAGUAAGAAUUCCAACUAUGUAAUUCUCAACAGAGAUUAGAGAACAAGAAACAGAUGGCAAAACUAUAUAUUUAUGUGUAUAUAUA